rnacentral:rRNA from 1 species
UACGUAGGUGGCGGGCGUUGUCCGGAUUUACUGGGCGUAAAGAGCGCGCAGGCGGUCGUUCAAGUCGCGUGUGAAAGCCCCCGGCUCAACUGGGGAGGGUCACGCGAUACUGAUCGACUCGAAGGCAGGAGAGGGUAGUGGAAUUCCCGGUGUAGUGGUGAAAUGCGUAGAUAUCGGGAGGAACACCAGUGGCGAAGGCGACUACCUGGCCUGUUCUUGACGCUGAGGCGCGAAAGCUAGGGGAGCAAACGGG